rnacentral:rRNA from 1 species
CACGUAGGGCGCAAGCGUUGUCCGGAAUUAUUGGGCGUAAAGAGCUCGUAGGCGGUCUGUUACGUCUGCUGUGAAAACCCGGGGCUUAACCCUGGGCUUGCAGUGGAUACGGGCAGACUAGAGGCAGGUAGGGGAGAAUGGAAUUCCCGGUGUAGCGGUGAAAUGCGCAGAUAUCGGGAGGAACACCGGUGGCGAAGGCGGUUCUCUGGGCAGUAACUGACGCUGAGGAGCGAAAGCGUGGGGAGCGAACAGG